GGACUUUCGUGGUAAAGGGUUUUACGUAGGAAGCAUCCGCUCCCACCACUGUAAGCUUGUGGUUAGCAAUAGUGAAAAAUAGUUGUUGAUUUAGAGCAGCAUUAAUCACCCGAAUUAGGCUUGUUUCUCCUGGGUUGACUGAACUGUAGAAGCAGACCUUUGCUAGAGCAUUUAUAGAGAUCACCAGGUUGACCGUUAAUGGUAUACGCAUCAGAAACGUUUGGAGCUGCACCUGUUCUUGUGGCUUCUCGUACAACAUCUAUCGGGUUUGCAUCCCACCAUUCACCUGCCAUCGUCAUCAUCAUCAUAUUAGAUCACAUAUGUAAUAUUUUGGACUUCUGCUAAAUGUACAUUUUCUUUGCGAAUAAACUUUAUACCAAGAGUAAUGAGCGAUUCAUGGUCUG